GAUAGAAAUUUAAACACUUUUUAAAGUAUCAAUUAGGAGGGCAAGUCUGGUGCCAGCAGCCGCGGUAAUUCCAGCUCCAAUAGCGUAUAUUAAAAUUGUUGCAGUUAAAAAGCUCGUAGUUGAAUUUCUGCUAAAAAUAACCGGUCUGCUUUUAAUAAAGGUGGUAUCUUGGUGUGUUUUUAGCAAUAAUGUCCUUUGAAAUGUUUUUUACUUCAUUGUAAUAAAUUAUAUUCUAGGAUUUUUACUUUGAGAAAAUUAGAGUGUUUCUAGCAGGCUAAUGCUUUGAAUACUGCAGCAUGGAAUAAUAAAAUAGRAUUUUGGUUCUA
rnacentral:rRNA from 1 species